rnacentral:rRNA from 1 species
UGGGUAGUCCGCACGAGCGCACCUCACUUUUAGUUGCCACCAUUUAGUUGGGCACUCUGAAAGAACUGCCAGUGAUAAGCUGGAGGAAGGUGGGGAUGACGUCAAGUCCUCAUGGCCCUUAUGUGUUGGGCUACACACGUGCUACAAUGGAUGGUACAGAGGGUCGCCAACCCGCGAGGGGGAGCUAAUCCCAUAAAACCAUUCGUAGUCCGGAUCGCAGUCUGCAACUCGACUGCGUGAAGUCGGAAUCGCUAGUAAUCGCGGAUCAGAAUGUCGCGGUGAAUACGUUCCCGGGUCUUGUACACACCGCCCGUCACACCAUGGGAGCGGGUUCUGCCAGAAGUAGUUAGCCUAACCGCAAGGAGGGUGAUUACCACGGCAGGGUUCGUGACUGGGGUGAAGUCGUAACAAGGUAGCCGUAUCGGAAGGUGCGGCUGGAUCACCUCCUUUCU